rnacentral:tRNA from 1 species
GGCGACAUAGCCAAGCGGCAAGGCAGCGGUCUGCAAAACCGCUAUUCCCCGGUUCGAAUCCGGGUGUCGCCUCCA